CCAUCUUAAUCUUAUUAUGCAAAUGAACUCGCCCGUUGACUGGCGCCAUCUUGUCUGCUCCUGACUACACGCAGCUGAUAAAGAGAAGGGAAGAUGGGGCUCCCAUUUUGAGCAUGAUUGGCACAAAUGCCAGCAUAUAUGUCUGCAGCUCGAUUUUAUAUGCUGCUCAUUGUUAGAAAGGAAAAUGGUUCGGGGCUGCUUUUCAUUAAAAGGAAAACUUGACUGAGGACUUCUGUACCCUCACUAUCUGCCUAAGUAAUUUCUUUUUUUUUUUUCUUUCUUUCUUUUUUUUUUUGAGAGGGAGUCUUCUCUGUCUCCAGGUUGGAGUGCAGUAGCACUCACUGCAACCUCUGCCUCCCAGAUUCAAGCGAUUCUCCUGCCUCAGCCUCCCGAGUAGCUGGCACUAGAGAUGGGGUUUCACCAUGCUGGCCAGGAUGGUUUUGAUCUCUUGACCUCGUGAUCUGCCUGCCUCCGCCUCUCAAAGUGCUGGGAUUACAGGCGUGAUCCACUGUGCCGGGCCAGUAAUUUCUUCUUAAAUCCUGUAUCAACAUAUGAUAAAAUACAGCAUUUUAAAACAAGUUUUGAAAAGAUUAAGAAUUUAUAAAAGCUCUAAGAAGGAAACUUCAAAUAUGGAUCUCAAUCACGAGCAAGGUAAUGAGGACCCAGUGACCAUGAAGAGGCUCCAGAAGUCCAUGACCUUCUGUUAUGAAAAGUUAUAGUACGAUCUGUGCUCAACAGAAAAGUGCCUACUGAAGUGACCAGUGCCAUGAUGUUGUAUCUGCUUGGUCAGUGAUGCCAUGAGCAAGAUGGUGGAGGCCAGGAACAGGAUGAAAGGAACAACCAACGCGACUAUAUGAGCCUGGAGGAGAUACUGAUGAAGCUUUUGAAGUCUGUCAAUUACAGUGCUGUUUCUGGGUGGAUGCUCCAUGGUGAGAAACUGAAUUUGAAUGUAAUUCCCAAUAGCUGAAGGGAUGAUUGUCACACAAGUAAUCAUCAGAGAACCCAGUAAUAGCCAGGGAAGCAACCUCAAAAUUCUCCACCUCAGCCAGAGA
ensembl:lincRNA